AAUACAACACGCCCCCCAUUGAAUGUGUUGCUGCUAGUUCCGCCUUGAGUGGCACCAAUUUCGGUGGUAUGAAUUUUACGGUGUGUAAGGUGUGUUGCAUCGUGGUUCAAGGGGUUCAGUUAAUUGUUUUCGCGUGAAAUUAGUAAGGAACACCGGACAUGUGUCGGCCUUCAGCGGUGUUCGUGCAACUGCUGUAACUGGCUGCUGCGCCUGGGCCCCCGAGCUGCACCUGAGGUUAACAAGGUUAGACAAGGCUUGCGACCAGGCGACUAGUUGGCCCACAAGUGAGACCAGCUCACUCCCAUCGAACGUUCCUUUCGACCUCGUACCGUACCUGCGGGAAGCGCUGCAAACAGUGCCACGCCGGAAGCCCCGAUGCACUGGUCAUCUCGCUUCGCCGUUUCCACGAUACGAUCUUUGCCAAGCGCAUGCGCACCUAGCAAGCUUCGGGAUCCAUUUUAAAUGGGCGUUUUGCUUCUUGGCGAUCAUUUUGGAGCUGUGGCAACUCGUGGGAACCUCUACUAAUCGUCGAAUCCUGCUCCUUACAGAACGUGUGGCGCCUGGCACCAUUGUUGUUUCGUUGCUGCGGGUGGUGGCCCUCUCCCCGCUGAUGCUUUCGACAAUGACUUGGUCCAACCUUUCUACAUGCAAAAUGGUCAUUGCCGCUGAUGGUGGUAAGUGGUUUGUCACGGCCGCUUUUGACGUGGCUGUCACGUGAGCGUCAACCGCUGCUACGAAAACAGUUUUGAUAGACGGCCUGCUGGCUGCGGUGCUCGAGGGGAGCGGCACUGCCAUGUCGCCUUCUGAUUCAGCGCACGCAUCGGAUGCGCAUUCGAGGUCAAGCUGGAGCACCUGCAGGAGCACUGCUUCACCGACAGCGCCGUCCGCCGCAAGGCCUACCGCCAUUGUCGACAGGACGCCAUCCUGGCAUGUGGUACCGAGGAGCUUGCUAGGCUCUGCUUCCUAUGGUAAAAGCGAGUGGACUGACCAAGUAUCGACGCUCACCUCCCGUGGCCACAAUCAAUCACGCGCAAAAAAUCCGGAGUCUCCCCACUAUGGCAUGCCUCAUAUUCAGAGUACGGUUUCGGCACGUAAAACACAGUAAUGUCUUGAGAUCGUGACUGCCGGAUUGUGGUGAAGUCAUCCCAGUGCGGAAGCCUAAUGUUUCCUUGCUUGCCAAGAAAAAUAUGUGGCAGGAUAGAUCGCAUUACACCUCAGAAAUCACCUCCUGGGUCGUUAUCAGGCUUUAGUUUCACUGCAUACAUCAUGCAGUGUUUGCGCUCGCUCCUUUGUAAAGAACUUCUUUUACUUUUUUAAAAAUUUUUAUUCUGCUGAUGGGAAAACGAGGCCUUUGGGUUUUUCCAAAGCUGGCGAAAAUUCUGGUGGCACGGCCCACUACGCGUCCGCGUCUUAAAAGCGAACUUUCUUCGUUGCUAACUCGCCCGGUGUUUCAGGUCUCAAAUUUACCCUAUGGGCUUCGCUGAGGAAGCCAGACCAUAACCUGGCGCUAAAUCCGGUCGAGGAAGUAGGUUAGCUAGCGGCAGCCUGUCACGCCAUUGUGGCGUCUCGCCACUAAUGAACAAAACGUUGUCUCGUAAAUAGAGCCUCCUUCUUCCACUACCGAGCAUGCGAAGGUACACUGCGUACAUAACUACCAAGCAUCAAUGCUCGUAAGUGGCACUGCUAAUUUCUACGACGCGUUUGCUAUACGUAUGUUAGUUGCUGAGGUGGAAGCUAAACAAGCCGUUUGAUUUUAAAUGCGAUAGCAAUUAUAUGGACACUGAAAGUGUGUUCGCUCCGUCAGCACCGUCAUGGACGUUCUGUCGUGGUAUCGACGGCGCAUGCGCAGCUGGGCUUUAAUGGUUGGAUAGCUAGAUACGUGCAGUGUGUUUGGCUGCAAAAACACGAUCAAGACUAGGUGGGCACACCGUCGAAUUCCGGUUAAUUAGCUCCGCAGGGUAGAGAUUGCAGCGUUUUGUAUAGAGCUACUAGCACGAAGGUCGUGAACACGGACACAAUACAGCAUCCCUGCAUGCA